CGGGUGUUGGUAUAAUGGCUAUUAUUUCUGACUUCCAAUCAGAAGAUGAGGGUUCAAUUCCCUUACACCCGUCCA
rnacentral:tRNA from 2 species